rnacentral:rRNA from 1 species
UACGUAGGAGGCAAGCGUUGUCCGGAGUUACUGGGCGUAAAGCGCGCGCAGGCGGCAGUCUAAGUCCUCUGUGAAAUCACCCGGCUCAACUGGGUGGCUGCGGAGGAGACUGGGCAGCUUGAGGGGCCUAGAGGCCGGUGGAACUCCCGGUGUAGUGGUGAAAUGCGUAGAGAUCGGGAAGAACACCAGUGGCGAAGGCGGCCGGCUGGGGGCGCCCUGACGCUGAGGCGCGAGAGCGUGGGGAGCAAACCGG